rnacentral:rRNA from 1 species
AUACGUAGGGAGCGAGCGUUGUCCGGAAUUACUGGGCGUAAAGGGCGCGUAGGCGGCGCUUCAAGUCGUCUGUCAAAUGGGAGGGCUUAACCCUUUUUCGCAGACGCAACUGGAGAGCUUGAGAAGCAGAGAGGCAAACAGAAUUCCUGGUGUAGCGGUGAAAUGCGUAGAUAUCAGGAAGAAUACCAGUGGCGAAGGCGGUUUGCUGGCUGCAUACUGACGCUGAAGCGCGAAAGCCAGGGGAGCAAACGGGAUUAGAUACCCCGGUAGUCCUGGCAGUAAACGAUGUAUGCUGGGUGUGAGACUAGCGAUAGUUUCGUGCCGAAGUUAACGCGAUAAGCAUACCGCCUGGGGAGUACGGUCGCAAGAUUGAAACUCAAAUGAAUCGGCGGGG